rnacentral:rRNA from 1 species
AGAGUUUGAUCCUGGCUCAGAUUGAACGCUGGCGGAAUGCUUUACACAUGCAAGUCGAACGGCAGCACGGGAGCUUGCUCCUGGUGGCGAGUGGCGAACGGGUGAGUAACAUAUCGGAACGUAUCCAAUAAUGGGGGAUAACUAAUCGAAAGGUUGGCUAAUACCGCAUACGCCCUGAGGGGGAAAGCUGGGGAUCUUCGGACCUGGCGUUAAUGGAGCGGCCGAUAUCUGAUUAGCUAGUUGGUGGGGUAAAGGCCUACCAAGGCGACGAUCAGUAGCUGGUCUGAGAGGACGACCAGCCACACUGGAACUGAGACACGGUCCAGACUCCUACGGGAGGCAGCAGUGGGGAAUUUUGGACAAUGGGCGCAAGCCUGAUCCAGCCAUUCCGCGUGAGUGAAGAAGGCCUUCGGGUUGUAAAGCUCUUUCGCAAGGAAAGAAAACUUACCCUCUAACAUAGGGUGAGGUUGACGGUACCUUGAUAAGAAGCACCGGCUAACUACGUGCCAGCAGCCGCGGUAAUACGUAGGGUGCGAGCGUUAAUCGGAAUUACUGGGCGUAAAGCGUGCGCAGGCGGUUCUGUAAGUCAGAUGUGAAAUCCCCGGGCUCAACCUGGGAACUGCGUUUGAAACUACAGGACUAGAGUAUGGCAGAGGGGGGUAGAAUUCCACGUGUAGCAGUGAAAUGCGUAGAGAUGUGGAGGAAUACCAAUGGCGAAGGCAGCCCCCUGGGUCAAUACUGACGCUCAUGCACGAAAGCGUGGGGAGCAAACAGGAUUAGAUACCCUGGUAGUCCACGCCCUAAACGAUGUCUACUAGUUGUUGGGAGAGUAAAAUCUCUUAGUAACGCAGCUAACGCGUGAAGUAGGCCGCCUGGGGAGUACGGUCGCAAGAUUAAAACUCAAAGGAAUUGACGGGGACCCGCACAAGCGGUGGAUUAUGUGGAUUAAUUCGAUGCAACGCGAAAAACCUUACCUGGCCUUGACAUGUACCGAAUUUGGGAGAGAUUCCUUAGUGCUCGAAAGAGAACGGUAACACAGGUGCUGCAUGGCUGUCGUCAGCUCGUGUCGUGAGAUGUUGGGUUAAGUCCCGCAACGAGCGCAACCCUUGCCAAUAAUUGCCAUCAUUUAGUUGGGCACUUUAUUGGGACUGCCGGUGACAAACCGGAGGAAGGUGGGGAUGACGUCAAGUCCUCAUGGCCCUUAUGGCCAGGGCUUCACACGUAAUACAAUGGUCGGUACAGAGGGUUGCCAACCCGCGAGGGGGAGCUAAUCUCAGAAAGCCGAUCGUAGUCCGGAUUGAAGUCUGCAACUCGACUUCAUGAAGU